rnacentral:rRNA from 1 species
CAGUAGCCGCGGUAAUACAGAGGGUGCGAGCGUUAAUCGGAUUUACUGGGCGUAAAGCGUGCGUAGGCGGCUUCUUAAGUCGGAUGUGAAAUCCCUGAGCUUAACUUAGGAAUUGCAUUCGAUACUGGGAAGCUAGAGUAUGGGAGAGGAUGGUAGAAUUCCAGGUGUAGCGGUGAAAUGCGUAGAGAUCUGGAGGAAUACCGAUGGCGAAGGCAGCCAUCUGGCCUAAUACUGACGCUGAGGUACGAAAGCAUGGGGAGCAAGCAGGAUUAGAUACCCCGGUAGUCCCUGUCUCUUAUAC